ACAUGCAGUCGAGCGGACAGAUGGGAGCUUGCUCCCUGAUGUUAGCGGCGGACGGGUGAGUAACACGUGGGUAACCUGCCUGUAAGACUGGGAUAACUCCGGGAAACCGGGGCUAAUACCGGAUGGUUGUUUGAACCGCAUGGUUCAGACAUAAAAGGUGGCUUCGGCUACCACUUACAGAUGGACCCGCGGCGCAUUAGCUAGUUGGUGAGGUAACGGCUCACCAAGGCGACGAUGCGUAGCCGACCUGAGAGGGUGAUCGGCCACACUGGGACUGAGACACGGCCCAGACUCCUACGGGAGGCAGCAGUAGGGAAUCUUCCGCAAUGGACGAAAGUCUGACGGAGCAACGCCGCGUGAGUGAUGAAGGUUUUCGGAUCGUAAAGCUCUGUUGUUAGGGAAGAACAAGUGCCGUUCAAAUAGGGCGGCACCUUGACGGUACCUAACCAGAAAGCCACGGCUAACUACGUGCCAGCAGCCGCGGUAAUACGUAGGUGGCAAGCGUUGUCCGGAAUUAUUGGGCGUAAAGGGCUCGCAGGCGGUUUCUUAAGUCUGAUGUGAAAGCCCCCGGCUCAACCGGGGAGGGUCAUUGGAAACUGGGGAACUUGAGUGCAGAAGAGGAGAGUGGAAUUCCACGUGUAGCGGUGAAAUGCGUAGAGAUGUGGAGGAACACCAGUGGCGAAGGCGACUCUCUGGUCUGUAACUGACGCUGAGGAGCGAAAGCGUGGGGAGCGAACAGGAUUAGAUACCCUGGUAGUCCACGCCGUAAACGAUGAGUGCUAAGUGUUAGGGGGUUUCCGCCCCUUAGUGCUGCAGCUAACGCAUUAAGCACUCCGCCUGGGGAGUACGGUCGCAAGACUGAAACUCAAAGGAAUUGACGGGGGCCCGCACAAGCGGUGGAGCAUGUGGUUUAAUUCGAAGCAACGCGAAGAACCUUACCAGGUCUUGACAUCCUCUGACAAUCCUAGAGAUAGGACGUCCCCUUCGGGGGCAGAGUGACAGGUGGUGCAUGGUUGUCGUCAGCUCGUGUCGUGAGAUGUUGGGUUAAGUCCCGCAACGAGCGCAACCCUUGAUCUUAGUUGCCAGCAUUCAGUUGGGCACUCUAAGGUGACUGCCGGUGA
rnacentral:rRNA from 1 species